rnacentral:rRNA from 1 species
AAUCAACGCUGGCGGCGUGCCUCAGACAUGCAAGUCGAACGCUGCUGUUCGCCUUCGGGUGGACAGCGGAGUGGCGCACGGGUGAGUAACACGUAGGUAAUCUACCGUUUGGGUGGGAAUAACAGCCGGAAACGGCUGCUAAUACCGCAUAAUGCAGCGGCAUCACAUGAUGACAGUUGUUAAAGCGAGGGAUCGUAAGACCUCGCGCCUGAAG